rnacentral:tRNA from 1 species
GCUUAUGUAGCUUAUCAAUAAAGCAAAGCACUGAAAAUGCUUAGAUGGAUAAUCAUAUCCCAUAAACA